AUGUCAUCAAUUUUUGUUGAAUGAAGCCAUGCGUAAGCGGAAGCGUGUUUCUUUAAUUUUUUUGUGUAUUUUAGUUUUUUUUCUUCGCGCUGUCCUCCUGUGGUAACGUUAAAAUGACACCAUGAAUCUUGCUUCGUUGCGACCGAGAUAAAAGAAUGGCCGAGUAACGACCACAAGGAUCAUUCGUCACGUGCGCGAUGAGAGGGAAGGUCGCAUGGUGGCGGCUCUCUGCGUGUCCAUAACAGCGUAGGCAUAGAAAGCUGGUGCUAGCUCUGCGUAUAGGCUGCCGGGAGUAUGGUGUGGCAUCACGCCCGUAGGUCAUUGAAGAUACAUUAUCCCUCAUAAGGGGAACGAACUGCGCUCGAAACCGUCCCCGGCAGAAGCAGCCAUAUGAUCACAGUUGAAUUCGUGCGAAAGCUGACACUUUCAGAGGGUGGUAAAGUCGAAAGUUGCGGAUUGCGAAAGCGUCGAUUUGGCAGCAGCGGCAGCCACCGGCACGCACGACAAGUGAAAUCUACUCUGUAUAUUUACAGCGUCCUUCGCCUGUGGACCAAAGUUCCUGGCCGCCGAGAGCAGCUCCGGCUGCGCUGGUGCAACUGAAAACCGAUCGUCGCCCGAAGUUUUUUUUUUUUUUUUUUUCCUUCGCUGUGGAAGCGAGACAGUUCUGGGGAAGGCAAAUCGCCACCUGCAUCACCGACGCCAGCGACAACUGACGAACAAGCAAGGACCGAGGGGGCGUCUCCCCGCAUUUGGCAGCAGCGGCAGCCACCGGCACGCACGACAAGUGAAAUCUACUCUGUAUAUUUACAGCGUCCUUCGCCUGUGGACCAAAGUUCCUGGCCGCCGAGAGCAGCUCCGGCUGCGCUGGUGCAAAUGAAAACCGAUCGUCGCCCGAAGUUUUUUUUUUUUUUUUCCUUCGCUGUGGAAGCGAGACAGUUCUGGGGAAGGCAAAUCGCCACCUGCAUCACCGACGCCAGCGACAACUGACGAACAAGCAAGGACCGAGGGGGCGUCUCCCCGCAUUUGGCAGCAGCGGCAGCCACCGGCACGCACGACAAGUGAAAUCUACUCUGUAUAUUUACAGGUUGGUCGUCUUUACUAAUAAGGAUUAGACUCUUUUUUUGUUGCCGACCCUGCCGCUGCUGCCACGAGUACAUUGUUUUCCUGAAGUGUAUUUGCCUUUGCACCGCACGACAUGUCGAGAUGUUGUACAUGCCGCUCGCUUGUGCCUGAAAAUGUGCCCUCUGCCAGCUGCUGUGAAUUGGCUGUUGGGGAGAGGGCAUCGCCGCGACGCCACGCCACCAGCGAGCCUCGACGGAGCAGAUUCGGGGACGCGACACCGCCGGGCGUGACGGGUGCCGCCGUCUCGCUCCCGGAAGCCGGCGCACAGGGCGCACCGUCACAAUACCACGAGGUCCGCUACAUUUGGUUGCAGCACACUCUUCACGUGGUCAAGAGCAAAAACCUCUGGCUUUCAAUAAAGAGCUUAUCU